rnacentral:rRNA from 1 species
GACGAACGCUGGCGGCGUGCUUAACACAUGCAAGUCGAACGGAAAGGCCCUGCUUGUGUGGGGUGCUCGAGGGGCGAACGGGUGAGUAACACGUGAGUAACCUGCCCUUGACUUUGGGAUAACUUCAGGAAACUGGGGCUAAUACCGGAUAGGAGCUCCUGCUGCAUGGUGGGGGUUGGAAAGUUUCGGCGGUUGGGGAUGGACUCGCGGCUUAUCAGCUUGUUGGUGGGGUAGUGGCUUACCAAGGCAUUGACGGGUAGCCGGCAUGAGAGGGUGACCGGCCACAUUAGGACUGAGAUACGGACCAGACUCCUACGGGAGGCAGCAGUGGGGAAUAUUGCACAAUGGGCGGAAGCCUGAUGCAGCAACGCCGCGUGCGGGAUGACGGCCUUCGGGUUGUAAACCGCUUUCGCCUGUGACGAAGCGUGAGUGACGGUAAUGGGUAAAGAAGCACCGGCUAACUACGUG